rnacentral:rRNA from 1 species
UACGUAGGUGGCAAGCGUUAUCCGGAAUUAUUGGGCGUAAAGCGCGCGCAGGUGGUUUCUUAAGUCUGAUGUGAAAGCCCACGGCUCAACCGUGGAGGGUCAUUGGAAACUGGGAGACUUGAGUGCAGAAGAGGAAAGUGGAAUUCCAUGUGUAGCGGUGAAAUGCGUAGAGAUAUGGAUGAACACCAGUGGCGAAGGCGACUUUCUGGUCUGUAACUGACACUGAGGCGCGAAAGCGUGGGGAGCAAACAGG